GACCUGCCCACUGAUAAUAUAAUUUAAUGGCCGCGGUAUUAAUGACCGUGCAAAGGUAGCAUAAUCAUUAKKCUUUUAAUUGAAGGCUUGUAUGAAUGGUUGGACAAAAGGAAAACUGUCUUCUUAAUAUAAAUUGAAUUUAACUUUUAAGUGAAAAGGCUUAAAUAUGUCAGAGGGACGAUAAGACCCUAUAAAGCUUUAUAUAAAAUGAAUUUUAGAUUGAAAUUUUAUUAAAAGAUUAAGAUUUAUGUUUAUAUUGUGUUGGGGUAACAAAAGUAUAAUUGUUAGUAACUGUUUAGUUUAUAUACAGGUAUAUUUGUAUUAUUAAGUGAUCCUUAUUUAAAGAUUUUAAAAUUAAGUUACUUUAGGGAUAACAGCGUAAUUUUUUUAGAGAGUUCCUAUCGAAAAAAGAGUUUGCGACCUCGAUGUUGAAUUAAAAUUUCUAUAUAGUGGAGCUAUUAUAUAAGGAGGUCUGUUCGACCUUUAAUUUUUUACAUGAUUUGAGUUCAAACCGGUGUGAGCC
rnacentral:rRNA from 1 species